AGGAUGAACGCUGGCGGCGUGCCUAACACAUGCAAGUCGAACGAGAAAGUGGAGCAAUCCAUGAGUAAAGUGGCGCACGGGUGAGUAACACGUGACUAACCUACCUUUUAGUGGGGGAUAACCUAGGGAAACCUGGGCUAAUACCGCAUAAUACCUACGGGUCAAAGCAGCAAUGCGCUGGAAGAGGGGGUCGCGGUCGAUUAGUUAGUUGGCAGGGUAAUGGCCUACCAAGACUGUGAUCGAUA
rnacentral:rRNA from 1 species